AAUGAACGCUAGCGGCAGGCUUAACACAUGCAAGUCGAGGGGUAUAGUUCUUCGGAACUAGAGACCGGCGCACGGGUGCGUAACACGUAUGCAAUCUACCUUUUACAGGGGGAUAGCCCAGAGAAAUUUGGAUUAAUACCCCAUAGUAUGUUAAAGUGGCAUCAUUUUAACAUUAAAGUUCCAACGGUAAAAGAUGAGCAUGCGUCCCAUUAGCUAGAUGGUAAGGUAACGGCUUACCAUGGCGACGAUGGGUAGGGGUCCUGAGAGGGAGAUCCCCCACACUGGUACUGAGACACGGACCAGACUCCUACGGGAGGCAGCAGUGAGGAAUAUUGGACAAUGGGCGCAAGCCUGAUCCAGCCAUGCCGCGUGCAGGAAGACGGUCCUAUGGAUUGUAAACUGCUUUUGUACAGGAAGAAACACUCCCUCGUGAGGGAGCUUGACGGUACUGUAAGAAUAAGGAUCGGCUAACUCCGUGCCAGCCGCCGCGGUAAAAC
rnacentral:rRNA from 1 species